AGAUAUUCCUGAUAACUAUAUGUAACAGAAAACAAGAACAUCAAAUUUUAUGUAAGAUAAUUUGUGCCCCAAAUUGAGGUUGAAGAGUAACAAGAACAUUUGGAGCAUGUUUGUAAGAAGGUGAAAGUUCAAAUGAGAAUCGUUGCAAAAUGAGAGCUAGUGCUAAUUUGGCUUCAAGCAUAGCAAAGUUUUGUCCAAUGCACACUCUUGGUCCCCAACCAAAAGUAAAGAAUGGCCUGGAAUUUCCAUGAGAAAAUCUUUCAGGAUUGAACUCAGUUGCGUCCUGUCCCCAUAGUUCAGGAUCCCUAUGUAUAAGGUACAAUGGGAUCUCAAAGCCGACUCCUGCUGGAAAACAGUAUUCUGCCAAUUUAGUCUCUUCAUAUACGGAUCGGAAAAGGGACGUUGCUGGAUAUAAUCUUAAUACCUCAAGAAGGAUCGCAUUCACCUAAAAGAUUUUGAUAAAAAUAUAAUGUUAUCAAGAAAUUAAAAAAGAAAGAUACAUACUUUAAAAUUAACAAACUUACAUUUUUCAAGCGGUUUAACUCAUCGAAAGUUGGUUUAUUUUUUCCCAGAAGUUGCACAAUCUCCUUCCUAGCCUUUUCUUGCCAAUUCAAAUGCAUGCUCAAUACAAUCAUAGUCCAAGUUAACAAAUUUGCAGUAGUCUCAUGACCAGCAAAGUAGAAUAGCUUGCAUUCUUCUAUCACAUCUUCUUUUGACAUCCCAAUAUUUUUGUUUUCUUGAACCUCAUCCAAGUUGGACUUGAGUAGCAGAUUCAAUAAAUCAUCUUGCCCUGCAUUUCCUGAUAGUAUAGCCUUCUCUCUGUUUUCCACGAGGCCUAGGAGUAAAGCUCGAACUUGUUGAUGAAUUUGCAUCAUUCUUUUGUUUAAUUUUGAAGGCAGGAACCUAUGGAUUCAACUAAAAUCUCAUUUCAUGAAUACACUAAUUAGCACUUCAAAACUUUUUUUUUCAGUUUUAGAUAGGUUGAAACUCGCAAUCUCGCAGUUUUAGAGACAACUCAAAUAUCAUUAAGUCAAAGACCAUUAAUGUCUAGAUGAAGCUUAAAUUACAUAAGUCUUUGAAUUUAAUGUUUAUGUUUAAGACAUAAGAUCAUGAAAAAAGGGUUAUGAAUUAAAAACUAUAAAAAGGCAAAAGAAAUGGAAUCAAAGUCAAAUAAUUACUGCUUUGCAUACCUUGACCAUAAAGAAUUUAAACUGUAAAGUGACUGUAAAUAGAGUCCUGCUUGUUUCCUUUGGAGAGAAAAUAUAAAUUUCCCUUCUUCAAUAUUACUACCAAAAGCUGCUCUUGAUAUAAUGUCUCCUGUUAGGUUUUGGAGCUCAGGCAUAACAUCCAAUUCAUAAAAUUCUUUUGAGCCUACUAAAUUAUCCCAUUUCUCAAUCAUUUCUUCACAAGAUGCCAUAAAAGAUGGCAACAUCCCCUGCAGAAAUGAAUCUUAAUCUGUCAUUUUUUUUAUGUCCAUAGAAAAAUUUCUACUGUAACUAAUAAGAAAACACAUUAACAAAGUAACCUUUAACUUUUCUGUGUGAAAUGCAGGGUUGAUUAUCUUCCUGUGCAGUGCCCAUUUAUCUCCAUCAAUAUUUGCAAGACCUCUCAGGAAAAAUUUAAAGUUUGAAGUUACUUCUAGCUUUCGAAAUUCCGAUUUUCUUGUCAUAAUCUCUUUUGCUAGCUUUGGAUCCAUUAUUGUUACACGAGGAGUCAUUCCAUACCAAAUUGCAAAUGGCUUCUCUGCAAGAAAAUACAAAAAUUCAUUUCUUUUAUUAAUCAAGCUUCCACCUGCAGGAUUAAAACUUCCAAACACUAGCUAAAAUGGAUUAUUCAGUAGCAGAAAAGGAACUUUGUUAAUAAACUAUUAGUUUGAAAAAACUUACUGUAAGUCAUGUAGAGUUGGUGAAGCAAUGGAUUGAGAAGAUGACCAAUAUCAUGGGUUAGUUCCAUAGGCUUAGACUUGGCUUCUGUGGCUAACUUGAUCAUCUCUUUAACGUUUCCAUAAAGUAACUUGUAUGGAAGAGCAUGGAUGCCUUGUCUUCUCAGCUUCUUCUCUAUCAUUUUCGGUGUCCACCAUAUUUUAUGUAAUAGUUUCACACUCCAAACUAUAACCGGAACACACAACAGUAACCCCAAAACCAAGAAUGCCAUAGUUCUGUUGUCUGAGCGGAGUUCUUGGUUUAGUAUGUGACUUGUUCUUGGUUUUAUAUUUUGAUUCUGAGGCAGACCUAGUGGGUUUAUACAGGCAAAACAUGUGAAGAUGUUAUUACGUCGGAGUUAGACUAAUUGUUAAAUAAAACAUGAAUGAACCUGGAAUCUAGGCAAACUUUACGGUCAUCAAUUUGAAACCUGGAAUCCCAACUAACAUCAAGUAAGCUCGUUUUCCCAACUAACAUCGAGUAAGCCCACUUGUGGUCUCAUCCUUACAGGAUUGAAAUCGCUUACCAACUUAUAAGACAAUAGGCUCAUAGGUAUAAAUUAAUUUUAGCUGUUCUUCAAGUUUUAAAAUUUUCCUCUUUCUGGUUUUAAUAAAAAAAAAAAAAAAAAUCAUGUGAAGAGAAUCCUCCACCAAACAUGAGCAAUCCAUGCAAUGCUUAUGAGUAGUGAACCCUCUACGAGCAUGGACUGCGUGAAGCUUCUACGAGCACGGACUGCAUUGCACAUAAUACUCUCAUAUAUUGCCUGCUAACCAAAGAAAUAAACAGAUCUACAUCCCACCCUCUACGAGGUAUUGCCUUUUCCUCAUGAAAUCAUAUGUUUCUGUUUGAAUUUCUUUCUUUUCUCUUUCUAUCUAUUCAACAAAGUUGCUGCUUCUAUUUUCAGCCACAGGCAAUCUAUGUCGGGGAAGAAUGCAUUUUGGUGAGGGUACUAAUUAUUUAUUAGGAAAUACGUUUUCAAUUCUUCUACUACACAUGCAUUGUAAGUAUUCUUCCUUACAUAUUCUGAACCGUACACGGUUUUUUCGGCGGUGUUGAUCACCAAUGGGAUGGUGAGCUCUUUGCCACAGCUGGUGCUCAAGUGAUAUUUGGGAAUCACAAUAGUUUUAAAUCUAAACUAGGUUAUUGUUCCAUUAAGUGCAAAGUUAUAUCAAUUAUGUUUACAGUGCAACUUCUGUUAUAUCUGUUCGAUUUAAUCCUGGGAACCAAACCUUUUGGCAACGACUGAAAGGUGUUCCUGGAUAAAUGACAUAGAGUUCAAUUAUCAUGUGCUUAAUCAUUCAAUGUACAACUCAAGUUGAUAGUUCAAAUCCUUUCCCACGUUGAGACAAUGAAACAUGAACAUUGUAACAAUUCCUCACACAUGCGAUAACGAAAAUGUUGUGUCAGUUGAUCUAGAAUAUUGGUAGAGUUGAAGUCAUUUUGUGAACAGAUUUUUCAAGUUGAAGCAUGCAUUAGCAUGAACAACAAACUCAAUCCGAUGCAAAAGAAAAGUAAAAAUUAGAAGUGUGAGGAUACUCGUGGGAAUAACAAAAGUGAAAUUACAAUAAUAGAGAAGAUAUUACAACAAGUCUGUAAGUAGGUGAAAGCUCAAAUGAUAUAUACUUGUUGCAUGUUCUAAUUAAGCUUUAUGUAUGUGUGUAUAUAUAGCCUAGAUCAGAUAUUCCUGACAACUAUAUGUAAUAGAAAAUGAGUUCAUCAAAUUUUCUGUAAGAUAAUUUGUGCCCCAAAUUGAGGUUGGAGAGUAAGAGAAACAUUGGGAGCAUGUUUGUAAGAAGGUGAAAGUUCAAAUGAGAAGCGUUGCAAGAUAAGAGCUAGUGCUAAUUUGGCUUCAAGCAUAGCAAAGUUUUGUCCAAUGCACACUCUCGG
rnacentral:lncRNA from 1 species